AACGAACGCUGGCGGCAGGCUUAACACAUGCAAGUCGAGCACCCAGCAAUGGGAGCGGCGCACGGGUGAGUAACACGUGGGAACGUGCCCUUUGGUUCGGAAUAACGUAGGGAAACUUGCGCUAAUACCGGAUAAGCCCUUACGGGGAAAGAUUUAUCGCCAUUGGAGCGGCCCGCGUUGGAUUAGCUAGUUGGUGGGGUAAAAGCCUACCAAGGCAACGAUCCAUAGCUGGUCUGAGAGGACGACCAGCCACACUGGGACUGAGACACGGCCCAGACUCCUACGGGAGGCAGCAGUGGGGAAUCUUGCCCAAUGGGGGAAACCCUGAGGCAGCAACGCCGCGUGCGGGAUGACGGCCCUCGGGUUGUAAACCGCUUUC
rnacentral:rRNA from 1 species